rnacentral:rRNA from 2 species
CGACGCUGGCGGCGUGCCUAAUACAUGCAAGUCGAACGAACUCUGGUAUUGAUUGGUGCUUGCAUCAUGAUUUACAUUUGAGUGAGUGGCGAACUGGUGAGUAACACGUGGGAAACCUGCCCAGAAGCGGGGGAUAACACCUGGAAACAGAUGCUAAUACCGCAUAACAACUUGGACCGCAUGGUCCGAGCUUGAAAGAUGGCUUCGGCUAUCACUUUUGGAUGGUCCCGCGGCGUAUUAGCUAGAUGGUGGGGUAACGGCUCACCAUGGCAAUGAUACGUAGCCGACCUGAGAGGGUAAUCGGCCACAUUGGGACUGAGACACGGCCCAAACUCCUACGGGAGGCAGCAGUAGGGAAUCUUCCACAAUGGACGAAAGUCUGAUGGAGCAACGCCGCGUGAGUGAAGAAGGGUUUCGGCUCGUAAAACUCUGUUGUUAAAGAAGAACAUAUCUGAGAGUAACUGUUCAGGUAUUGACGGUAUUUAACCAGAAAGCCACGGCUAACUACGUGCCAGCAGCCGCGGUAAUACGUAGGUGGCAAGCGUUGUCCGGAUUUAUUGGGCGUAAAGCGAGCGCAGGCGGUUUUUUAAGUCUGAUGUGAAAGCCUUCGGCUCAACCGAAGAAGUGCAUCGGAAACUGGGAAACUUGAGUGCAGAAGAGGACAGUGGAACUCCAUGUGUAGCGGUGAAAUGCGUAGAUAUAUGGAAGAACACCAGUGGCGAAGGCGGCUGUCUGGUCUGUAACUGACGCUGAGGCUCGAAAGUAUGGGUAGCAAACAGGAUUAGAUACCCUGGUAGUCCAUACCGUAAACGAUGAAUGCUAAGUGUUGGAGGGUUUCCGCCCUUCAGUGCUGCAGCUAACGCAUUAAGCAUUCCGCCUGGGGAGUACGGCCGCAAGGCUGAAACUCAAAGGAAUUGACGGGGGCCCGCACAAGCGGUGGAGCAUGUGGUUUAAUUCGAAGCUACGCGAAGAACCUUACCAGGUCUUGACAUACUAUGCAAAUCUAAGAGAUUAGACGUUCCCUUCGGGGACAUGGAUACAGGUGGUGCAUGGUUGUCGUCAGCUCGUGUCGUGAGAUGUUGGGUUAAGUCCCGCAACGAGCGCAACCCUUAUUAUCAGUUGCCAGCAUUAAGUUGGGCACUCUGGUGAGACUGCCGGUGACAAACCGGAGGAAGGUGGGGAUGACGUCAAAUCAUCAUGCCCCUUAUGACCUGGGCUACACACGUGCUACAAUGGAUGGUACAACGAGUUGCGAACUCGCGAGAGUAAGCUAAUCUCUUAAAGCCAUUCUCAGUUCGGAUUGUAGGCUGCAACUCGCCUACAUGAAGUCGGAAUCGCUAGUAAUCGCGGAUCAGCAUGCCGCGGUGAAUACGUUCCCGGGCCUUGUACACACCGCCCGUCACACCAUGAGAGUUUGUAACACCCAAAGUCGGUGGGGUAACCUUUUAGGAACCAGCCGCCUAAGGUGGGACAGAUGA